AGCAUUUUAUCUUUUGUGAUGGGGAUGAUAGAAGUUUAACGAAAUGAAUGUGAUAGUGUCUUGAUCUGAAGAUAGAUAAUAUUGCCCAAAACAUGCUAAACAUAAAAAAAAAAAAAAAAAAAAAAAAAAAAAAAAAAAAAAAAAAAAAAAAAAAAAAAAAAAAAAAAAAAAAAAAAAAAAAAAAAAAAAAAAAAAAAAAAAAAAAAAAAAAAAAAUUUUCUGUACAUUAAGAUGCACAUCAGUCUCAAACUAUUUAAAAUACAAAAACAGUGUGUACGCAAUGAAAAAAA
rnacentral:lncRNA from 1 species